CCUACGGGUGGCUGCAGUGAGGAAUAUUGGUCAAUGGCCGUAAGGCUGAACCAGCCAAGCAGCGUGAGGGAAGACUGCCCUAUGGGUUGUAAACCCCUUUUUUGCGGGGAUAAAGGUGUCCACGUGUGGAUGUUUGCAGGUACCAUAUGAAUAAGGACCGGCUAACUCCGUGCCAGCAGCCGCGGUAAUACGGAGGAUCCGAGCGUUAUCCGGAUUUAUUGGGUUUAAGGGGAGCGUAGGUGGAUUGUUAAGUCAGUUGUGAAAGUUUGGGGCUCAACCGUAAAAUUGCAGUUGAAACUGGCAGUCUUGAGUGCAGUAGAGGUGAGCGGAAUUCGUGGUGUAGCGGUGAAAUGCUUAGAUAUCACGAAGAACUCCGAUUGCGAAGGCAGUUCACUGGACUGCAACUGACACUGAGGCUCGAAAGUGUGGGUAUCAAACAGGAUUAGAUACCCGUGUAGUC
rnacentral:rRNA from 1 species